GGACGAUGCUUUGGAACCGGACUUAAGCCACGAUUUAACAACGACCGGGGGAACGUGACGCGCGCUGCCUCCAGUCGUGUAGUAAGGCAGUGCGUGGAGUCGCGUCCCUUGAACCCUACAUCCUUCACCGCGUUUCCGCCUCUUGCCCUUGCGCUCGCCGUUUGCUUCUCGGACCGCUCUCCGAUCCCCCAUUCUCCUCGUCUUCUGAUCUAUCUUCAUGGAGAUCUGGGUUCAUUCUCCUGAGUUAUCUUCACGGAACUUCUGGUGGAAAACUAUGAUGAAUAUGAGAAACCCUGUAGUGUAGCAGUGUUGUAUAAAAAAAAGGGGCGCUCGAUGAUAAGAAUGUUCAUUCCGGGGGUAUGGAAAUCAAACCGGAAGAAACUGUCAAGGACAAUCCUGGAGAGGAACAAAUAUGUGCAUCUUUCUCAGGUGUUAAAUGGGCACAUAUAAGAUGAACUUAUUCCUGAGUAUUUCUUUUGAAUAUGUUUUUAUUACCAUGCAGACUUGAUUAGGGGAGAGUAAGAAGAAGCAUCAUGGAAAUGAGAAUGUAUUAAUCUAUGUGAAAUUUAACAACUAAUAGCUAGUAUUUGGAACACUCUCUGCAGAGAGAUGUGCUCAAAUUCAAUA